rnacentral:rRNA from 1 species
GACGAACGCUGGCGGCGUGCUUAAUACAUGCAAGUCGAGCGAGGUUACUGUUUUGGAUCCCUUCGGGGUGAAGAAGCUUUAACCUAGCGGCGGACGGGUGAGUAACGCGUGGGUAACCUACCCCAAAGUCCGGGAUAACAGCGGGAAACCGCUGCUAAUACCGGAUGCCUUUACCUUGGGGCAUCUUGAGGUAAAGAAAGGUAACGCUUUGGGAUGGGCCCGCGUCCCAUUAGCUAGUUGGUGAGGUAACGGCUCACCAAGGCGACGAUGGGUAGCCGGCCUGAGAGGGUGGACGGCCACACUGGGACUGAGACACGGCCCAGACUCCUACGGGAGGCAGCAGUAGGGAAUAUUGCGCAAUGGGGGGAACCCUGACGCAGCGACGCCGCGUGAGCGAAGAAGGCCUUCGGGUCGUAAAGCUCUGUCCUAUGGGAAGAAUAGGACGGUACCAUAGGAGGAAGCCCCGGCUAACUACGUGCCAGCAGCCGCGAUAAUGCUACGUAGA